CCUACGGGAGGCAGCAGUGGGGAAUAUUGCACAAUGGGGGAAACCCUGAUGCAGCGACGCCGCGUGAGUGAAGAAGUCAUUCGUUAUGUAAAGCUCUAUCAGCAGGGAAGAAAAUGACGGUACCUGAGUAAGAAGCCACGGCUAACUACGUGCAAGCAGCCGCGGUACUACGUAGGGGGCCAGCGUUAUCCGGAUUUACUGGGUGUAAAGGGAGCGUAGACGGCAUGGCAAGUCUGGAGUGAAAGGCGGGGGCUCAACCCCCGGACUGCUCUGGAAACUGUAAGGCUGGAGUGCAGGAGAGGUAAGUGGAAUUCCUGGUGUAGCGGUGAAAUGCGUAGAUAUCAGGAGGAACACCAGUGGCGAAGGCGGCUUACUGGACUGUAACUGACGUUGAGGCUCGAAAGCGUGGGGAGCAAACAGGAUUAGAUACCCUGGUAGUC
rnacentral:rRNA from 1 species